UACGUAGGGGGCGAGCGUUGUCCGGAAUUAUUGGGCGUAAAGGGCGUGUAGGCGGUUCGGUAAGUCUGCCGUGAAAACCUGGGGCUCAACCCCGGGCGUGCGGUGGAUACUGCCGGGCUAGAGGGUGGUAGAGGCGAGUGGAAUUCCCGGUGUCGCGGUGAAAUGCGCAGAUAUCGGGAGGAACACCAGUAGCGAAGGCGGCUCGCUGGGCCAUUCCUGACGCUGAGACGCGAAAGCUAGGGGAGCGAACAGG
rnacentral:rRNA from 1 species